rnacentral:tRNA from 1 species
GCCCAGAUGGCGGAAUUGGUAGACGCGCUGGUCUCAAACACCAGUGGAUGCAAAUCCUUGCCGGUUCGAUUCCGGCUCUGGGUA